GUUGAGUGAAAGUGAGGGUGAGGGAAGUGUGUGUAUGUGCUGUGGUUCAGUGUCAAAGGAGGUCAAAGGUCAGUCUGACCUGGGGAACUCCUCAUCCUGCCACUCCUCCCUCAGCUCCAUGUCGUGGAUGAAAGAAUCCCCCGGUGGCCGAUCGGAGGUACUGCAGGACAGAGCCAAUAACGGGGCUCAGUUUAACAUGAACACACGAUACAUUAUUUAACCAGCGGAGUUCGUUCAAGACCCCACAGCAUUCAACAUUCAUGAACAUCCACUUCAAAGGCUGUGGAUAACUGUAUUCUGAAUCACGUAAAUGUCAAGCUUGUGUUUGUGUGUGUGUGUGUGUGUGUGUGUGUGUGUGUGUGUGUGUGUGUGUGUGUGUGUGUGUGUGUGUGUGUGUGUGUGUGUGUCUGUGUCUGUGUCUGUGUCUGUGUGUGUGUGUGUGCGUGCGUUAGAACAUAAAUGCUCCAUCGAUUAUCCAUACAAAACACUAUUCAGACAGAGGGGUAAACAUUUCUCAGAUAAUUAAUAAAAAGUUAAAAGUGUAAUUUGUUGGUGGGUUGUAAUAAUGAUGAGAUGGUAAGCCAUUUCUGAGAUUGAACCUUCUUGUUCAUUCAUCUCGUUGUUGGAUCUGUUAAGGAACACUAAUCCAUCCAUUAUCUGCAAUGCAUCGGCAGAUCUUUCAUAACCUCAAAUAUCAAUUAUGUAGUGUAACUUUCCACUAGUUGAGUGAAGAAAGGUUAAAAAUAAUUCAUAAUCAUAAUAAUAAUAAAGGCUGUGGAAUAGACACAGAAAAAGAAAAGGAAUCUCUUGUUAGCUGGACCGACUGUUUACACCUGACACACACACACACACACACACACACACACACACACACACACACACACACACACACACACACACACACACACACACACACACACACACACACACACACACACACACACACACACACACACACACACAAAGGACAAAAUCCAUUUGUCAAGAGAAUAUCUGAAGAAUGUUUUGAGAGGCUGAAACUUCUUAAAACAAAUCAGUGAUGCCACGAGUGAAAUCGUGGCUUUACAUUAAAAAAAUAUUUUACAUUUUAAAAAGUUAAAAGUAAAUUCAAUGAUAAACGCAUACACCAUCGCUGAACGCCCUAUCAACAACGCGUCUAGGCGGACAUACCUGUUCUGUCUCCGGUAUGUUUGCGGUUGUACUACCUGUCCAGUGCUGCACCUGUACCUGUACAGGUGUGUGAUACAGUAGGAGCAGCAGGGCUCGUGCAGGUGGCUGUCAGAGCGCAGGGAACACAGUGCCCUUCACACAGAGCCGCAGCCAAUCAGGGAGCUCCGUCACUGGUGACGCGUUGUGCAUACAUCGAGAUAAGCGCAGAAGAACUCAGAAACUAAAUAAAAACAGACCCUUGCACAAACCGAAUCCAGCUUGAUUCACCGCGACCCUUUUCGGUCAACCGCCGUGGAAUACGCGACCCAAUGCAAAUUAACGGAUGAAUCAAUUUAAACGUUCCCCAUCCUGGUUUUUGCGUUCGCUGAACAAUGAAGUGCUUCAAUGCCGCUGGAGCGGUUCAGGCAGGAAGUAGGGAAUGGCAACUUGACCCAGCGCCUUUCAGGGAGAUACCUGUAAAUCUGGUUGGGGGUGUGUCAGGGCAGGAGUGUGUGUGAUGCGGACGGUUUCUUCAGCUCUGUCUAGUGUGUUCUCGCCGUGCGUGACGUGGGGCCGACACUCUAUCCCCCCCCGCUGCCUUUGUCUCCCAGCGGAGAGGUAACAGGAGAUGAUGAGUCUUGGGAGAAAACGAGUCAUCACGGUGGGAGAGGGACACGUUGAAACAGAGAGGACUGGUUACUCCGAGAGCUUAACUGGUGCCUCUCUGGUGGGAAGAUGUGCCAUGACGUCAUCAAACGUAUUCCCCCGGUUAGAAAUAGAUCAGAUGAGCCAACGAGAGCCUACGCAGUCUCUGGAUGGAUGAAUGAAUCAAAGAUGGAUGGGUGUAGACAGAGGAUAGUUGCAUGAAAGUGUGAAUGGAUUCAGCAACGAAUCAGCGUUCAGGAUGUUAACAAAUCAAAAUGCGUCUGACCUAAUUUAAGAUGACCUGGAAAUCACCUUGAAAUCAAGGCUCAAACAUAACAGCAAGCAAUGUCUGCUCUGGGAUUCGAACCCUGAACCAUGAUUCUGCUAAUUGUGACUUCCAUUCGGGCAUUUCAUCGAUCAAUGUCCCUGCAAUUCCCAGUGACAAUAAUCAAGAGAGGAAUGAAUUGUGAUUUUAAAUUCAAGUCAUCCGGGUAGUGUAAGUGAGCUCAGAUGAUCCUCGACCUUAUCAUGUAGCAAUAAGGCCGCGUUCACAUCUAGCGUUUUUUAGAGUGUCUCAUUCUUGUGAUGAAAUGUGGAGGAAGUCCACUUGAUGGAGGACACCACUUGUUUCUCUGUUUCCUGAUUGGAGGGAAUCUCUGUUACCUGAUUGGAGGGCAUCUCUGUUUCUCUUCUUUCUGAUUGGAGGGCAUCUCUGUUUCUCUUCCUCUUGAUUGGAGGACAUCUCCCUGUAGUCCUGCUUCCUGAUUGGAGGUCCUCGCUCUGUUUUUCCUGCAGGCUCCCUGGUUGGAUGACAUCCCUGUGUUCCAUUGCUUCUUGAUUGGAGGACGUCUCCCUGACCCGAGUCACGUGACCCAAAGGAGCUGUUGUCCAGAGGCGUGCGAACACACCGGUGGAGAAACCCCCCCAAAGUGGUACGACCCAGCGUGGUACGACCCAGAGUGUAACACUCACUAAUGCACUCCUCGUCACUACUGCGUUUCCCCUUUUACAAUGAGGAACCUCUCUGUCGCCAGACACACACACACACACACACACACACACACACACACACACACACACACACACACACACACACACACACACACACACACACACACACACACAUACACACACACACACACGUUCACACACACACACAAAGAUACAGACACACACACACACACACACACACACACACACACACACACACACACACACACACAUGCAGGGGCUGGUGGAACUUCAGUCACCCAGUGAGCGUGGGCUCUCCGGUGUCGGCGGCGCGAAAACAAAACAACAAUAACAACAACAGGGCGAGAUGUUCCUACCCGUUGAGCAUGUAGCGGUCGUCCUGUUCUGACGGUUCUGCCGCCAUGUUCCCGUGAGGCGUAGACGCACCGAAGCCCGGAGCCAGGAGAACGUCUGUCAGACAACAGCGAGGGAACUGCUAGAGCCUCUGGGGAAGUCUCCUGAGUCCGUUUGACGGCAUUUCAUCACACCGGCCACUCUCCCAUUGGCUGCCUCUCACCUGGCAGGAGCGAGGCAUUCCUGUAGGGCUGGUCUGGGGAGGAGUGAGGCAUCUGGGUGUCUCUCCCUCUCUCCCUCUCUCCCUCUCUCCCUCCCUCUGUCCUUCUCUCUGUCUAUUCUGGGGAGGAGUCAUCAUCAUGACGGCAUCUCACCGCCUGCUGUCUUCCGGUGUUGAGGUUGGGAGAGGGGGAGGGGG
ensembl:lncRNA